AUUCAUCUGCCCUCUAGUGGUAUGGUCUAUUGGUCUUUGCCAUGACGAGCCAAAACCGGAUCCCAUUCCACCUUGCCAAAUUUCGGCUUAUUAAAAAAAAAUUGCUAAUUUAAUUGGCAUCAAGUUUCCGUUGCUGUGUUAAUACGAAGUAAAAUAAUCGUAGGUAUUUUUUUCACCAUUCUUUUCCCCUCGCCAAGUCGCCACUAAAGCUGAACAGGGAUGGCUAAAAACAAAAGAAGUUGAAGAUUUCUUUUUGGCGCCAAUCGUAAAAAAAGAUGGUGUAUAGUAAUAGAGAAGCAUGAUAAAAGAAGCACAAAAACAUACACAGAGAAAUGCUUACAGCCUCGGGUGUGUACAAAUGCAUACAGCAUACGCAGACGUGGUGUAGCUGUGAGUUUGGCGGGACGAAGGACAACGCCAUCAGUCGUGUUCCUGAUGUUGUAGCACUCGCAUGUCUUUUUUUAAAUCUUGUUUUUCCUAGUGCAAAUAAUUACAACUAUUGAAACCUGAUUUGAAAGAAACAUUGACAUGUAUCAAAUGUACUGGACUGAUUGUUUGUGUUGGCGUCUAAUUGGCAUCAAUUUAAUUUUGAUUGUCAUCAACUUCUCGGCUGUGGAUGGACUCAAGUUGCUUCAAGUGUCUAUUCCGCCAUUGAAAUUGACGGGACAAACAGCUCGACUUGCUUGUCACUACGACCUCGAAGGAGAUACGCUUUACUCCAUUAAAUGGUAUAAAGGUGGGCGUGAAUUUUUCCGUUACGUUCAACGUGACCAGCCACCGAUGCAAGUGUUUCCCGUGGAAGGCGUCAAAGUGGACAAAAGUCAAUCGGACCAGUUUCAAGUCACUCUGAUCCACUUAACUAUAGCAUCAGCAGGGCGUUACAAAUGCGAAGUAUCAGUUGAUGCCCCAUCUUUCCAGACGUCCUUCAACACCGUCGAAAUGAAUGUUGUCGCUUUACCAGAAUUCGGACCUCGGAUCAACACCAAGGGAUUUUUCUCAUUCGAUUCCAAUGUGACACUCGGCAAUUCUGCUUACAGAAUAUUGAAAAGUGAUGAUAAUCAUCAUCGAUCGUAUCAUUUGCAUUAUUCACGGCAAUCCAUCACUCGUGGUAAUGAUGAAAUUCAAAUCAAUUGCACGUCGAGUCGUUCCAAACCAGCAGCCGAACUGCAUUGGUACGUCAAUGGUUUCAAGCUGAAGGGGGAGCACAUGAUUGAAUAUGCCCCAUUUAUUGACGACGAGGCAAGUAAUUCUAGCACGUUAUUGGAAACGUCUAUACUGGGACUCAGAUGGAAAUGGAUGAUAGCGUCGUCUAAUGAUAAUCACCAAGAAAUGGAUGCCGUAAUUACUUUCAAUUGUACGGCAGCCGUUGGCUCUGUUUACUGGAGCUCGACAGCGUUAACGCUCAGUCCCGAGCCGGGGGUCGGUGCCAAAUCACGACCAAUGUUGAUGUAUCACGGGAGCCAUCUAUCCUCAAAUGCAAUUUAUGUUACUUCAACUGCAUGGCCAGUAGCUUUUCUUUAUGGUGUAGUUCUUGCCUCUUCAUCUUUCUGCAGUCAUCAUGGCUAGAUUUUAGACAUUAAGUUACAUCAGUUAGCAAUUAGUUAUUUUAUAAUAUUGUAUAUAUAGUUUUUUACCCAAACUUUUACAAAAAUCGUGAAGGUAGCCCAGUUAAACAUUCUUUUCUUGCCCUUUUGGUUAUUCUUCAACAUGUCUGUGUACAUUCCUCUCACGUUAAUGUAAUUCCAACUCAGAAUCUCAUUUUAAUACCUGUGAAUUGUUGAAACUCUUGACUUACCAACGAGAAUCGUUCUCCAUUUUCAUCCUUCUGAGCUAGUCACGUGUUCUGUUCGGAGGUUACAAGUUUGCUUUUCACUCGUACAGCAUUAUCAUUUUUAUUGUACCCUAAUUUGAAGAAAUAAAGUAGAUUUUGUUUUAUGAAGGAGGAAAUGACAACGUGUUUAACGUAGUCGCCCAAGUUCAUAUUUGAAUAUCGGAGGACCUCGUCACACGUCACCACAUGUGCUGGUCUUUACAGAACUAUAUAUUUAAAUUUCUAGUGUUUUCUCAUAAACUCGAGACUUAUUUAUUAUUAAAUACGAACAUUUGCAUCCGUUCUUUACUCGAAAAA
rnacentral:misc_RNA from 1 species